GGGGACCCGCAAGCGGUGGAUGAUGUGGAUUAAUUCGAUGCAACGCGAAAAACCUUACCUACCCUUGACAUGUACGGAGGACCGAAGAGAUUUGGUUGUGCUCGAAAGAGAACCGUAACACAGGUGCUGCAUGGCUGUCGUCAGCUCGUGUCGUGAGAUGUUGGGUUAAGUCCCGCAACGAGCGCAACCCUUGUCAUUAGUUGCUACAUUCAGUUGAGCACUCUAAUGAGACUGCCGGUGACAAACCGGAGGAAGGUGGGGAUGACGUCAAGUCCUCAUGGCCCUUAUGGGUAGGGCUUCACACGUCAUACAAUGGUACAUACAGAGGGCCGCCAACCCGCGAGGGGGAGCUAAUCCCAGAAAGUGUAUCGUAGUCCGGAUCGCAGUCUGCAACUCGACUGCGUGAAGUUGGAAUCGCUAGUAAUCGCGGAUCAGCAUGUCGCGGUGAAUACGUUCCCGGGUCUUGUACACACC
rnacentral:rRNA from 1 species